GUUGCUCCACACUCUCUUUCCCGUGUCUAAGUUCGUUCGAUGAAGGCUACUACUAUUUUGUUCUUACAUGAAGGCAUGGAAGCAGCUUUAAAGUAUUUUGGGACUGGUGUUGCUCUAGACUCUUCUUCCCAUGGCUAAGUUCGUUCGUUGAAGGCUACUACUAUUUUGGGUCGGACGACGCUCGCGAUCAUCCCACUCGUGGCUAGAGAUUUCUUUAGAUUUCAAAGAAGUUGGUGAGUCCUCACUGAGGACAAGACUUUUAUUCAUGAUUACUAUUGUCUUCACUUUCUUCUAUUGUUAGGUUGAGCUAGGAGCGUGUCCUAAUCCUCCGUCAAGGGUUAAACUAGAGGCAUGUUUAGACGAUAAUGUGAUGUAUCCAUGCGGGCGUUGAUUGGUUGAUUUUAUCCCUUAGUCCCAUACCCUUUGAGAUUAUUACUUCUGCUUGUCUUUAUCGUAUUCUUUACCUUAUGUAUGCAAUGUAUGCUAAGAUGGCUUAUAGUUGGGGUC